CAAGUGCUUCGCAGCCUGCAUCUGUACAGCACUUUGCAGCUGCAGCRCAAGCAUUUUAACAGCACUGAAAUGUCAUCACAAGAGCAGCUGAAAGCUCAGUUAUUCUGCGCAUGGGAAAUAUAUCUCUUUAUGAAGAUGAUGUAGCCACGUUCCCUCAAGCCUGAGAAUCUGCACUGAAGAAGAAGAUGUCAUAUUCAGGGGUAUCAUAUUUAGGCAGUCACUUACAGAGAGUGGCAGUUGUCAUAGAGAAUGUAUUACCUACAUAUUUUUUUUUCUGAGUUCAUCCAGGAUUUCCCUGUAACCAUGAAGAGACCUGUUAACAGUGAAGUUAAUGAAAUAACUUCUGCUUAAAGUAGUGGUUUUUAAUCCUUUUCUUUGGUAGGUGAACAUUUUUUUUUUUGCUUGCUGUUCACACUGAAGUUUAGCUUUCCACUAUCAUUGUGUAGAAAUACUGAAGUAUAUUUCUUUUGUAAAUUUUUAUAAAGUGAAAAACCUUUAGAAAU